UGAAAAAAAAAGUUUUCUGUUGAAACUUUCACAGAUGUUUAAUUUUAAUUACUCGAAUACAAGGUGUUUUAUUAUUCUAAUGCGAUACAAAAAUUAGCAAUACAGAUCACAAUUAUGCCAAUAGAUUAAAAAAAAUAAGUUUAGAUUACGUAGCGUUUAACAAAAUAGUUAAAUUAAAGACAAAUGAAAUACCGAGAUGUGGUAUUACAAUUCAUAGAAAUUUCAAAAAAACAAGAGCAGGUUAAAAAAUGUCGGAUUAAAAAUUAUGAGACCAAAACCAGCAAUGUUUAUUAUUGCUUGUUGCUCUCGCUCUGCAAACUCUUUGAUAAUCAUAACUGGCAACGGAAUAAAAAUAUACACAAAACAUGACAAAAAUAGGAGUAUUUUUAAACCGACAUCCAAGUUUUUAUUACAUUUUAAAUGGAGAUUAAUACGAGAACUUAUCCUUUUUAUUUUAGUUUUCUCUUACAAGCUUAUUAAGAGAUUUUAUUUUCAGUCAAAUCUGAUUUAAAAAAUAAUCCUGGGACAAUAUUAAUUCUGUUUAAUAUUACCAACACGCAACAACAAUUGUUCAAUUAAAUUUACAAAAUCACAUUCCGAAAGUUAUUUUAGAUUAAUCAAAAUGGGGCAACGCUAGCAAGUCAAUCACAAAGAGAUGUCAAUUUUUCAAGUUUUUCGAAACAUGUCGAUGUGGGUACCUGAAGUUGCGCCUCUAACCACUGAAUAUUGCCCAGUUUUCUAAGAGAAGAUGCUGGAGACCAAGCUUGAUUUGAAAAUGCUGCAUGCAAGAUGGUAUUCAAAUUUAGAAGAAAAGACAAAUAUGGUUCAAAGUUAGUUAUGCACAUGUAAAAUGUAAAUAGUAAAUACAUAUUUGGAUAUUGUUAAAUAAAUACCAGGAACUAGGCCUGACCAGGGUCAAGGUAUAUGAA